rnacentral:rRNA from 1 species
ACCAGACUCCUACGGGAGGCAGCAGUGGGGGAUAUUGCACAAUGGAGGAAACUCUGAUGCAGCGACGCCGCGUGAGGGAUGACGGCCCUACGGGUUGUAAACCUCUUUUGUCGGGGAGCAAAGAGAGUCACGUGUGGCUCAUUGAGAGUACCCGAAGAAAAAGCAUCGGCUAACUCCGUGCCAGCAGCCGCGGUAAUACGGAGGAUGCGAGCGUUAUCCGGAUUUAUUGGGUUUAAAGGGUGCGCAGGCGGAGGUGCAAGUCAGUGGUCAAAUUGCGGGGCUCAACCCCGUACUGCCGUUGAAACUGCAUCCCUUGAGUGCGCGAGAAGUAUGCGGAAUGCGUGGUGUAGCGGUGAAAUGCAUAGAUAUCACGCAGAACUCCGAUUGCGAAGGCAGCAUACCGGCGCGCAACUGACGCUCAUGCACGAAAGCGUGGGUAUCGAACAGGAUUAGAUACCCGCGUAA